CACAACCUUUAGCCUAAGAGGAGCCCUGGAGAUGCCUUGAACUCCACCUACAUAAAACCCGAUUUAAAACACACACACACACACACACACACACACACACACACACAACUACACCUAUCUUCCCUGAAAGCAUUGGGUCAAAGAGACUGGGAAUCCUUUUUUUUUUUUUUUUUUAAGAUUUUAAUUAUUUAUUUAUUCAUGAGAGACACAGAGAGAGAGAGGCAGAGACCGGGUGGCUCCUCAGUUUAGUGCCGCCUUCAGCUCAGGGCGUGAUCCUGGAGACCCAAGAUCGAGUCCCAUGUCGGGCUCCCGCAUGGAGCCUGCUUCUCCCUCUGCCUGAGACUGGGAAUCCUAACUGCUCUCUGGCCCACUGCUUACCUGCAUGGGUUACCCUGUAUGCUUCUCUUUGCUCCUCUAAAUCACCGAGGGUUAUUGCUUACUCCGCCUGCCUCCAGGUUUCCUAGGAGGAUCAAAUAAAAAAUAAUAUGAUAAUAAUGCUUGGGAAAGGACAGCAACAAAAUCUGGCAUUAGGAUCAUUUCCAAGGACCUGUUCUUUAUCUCAUGAAUAAAAACAAAAUUGCCCACAAGACUCUUCAUUUCAUAGAAACACAUUCCCCGAGGUGGGGGUAGGGGGGUGCAAAUAAACUUUCCUAGCACCGUUCUGUAAAUCUGUAAAUCUGACCGCUCCAGAGAGGCUGGCCAACUUCUGCAGACCCGCCGGGUAUCCCAUAGUGAGAAACCCGAGCCUUUAGAAAAUAAUGGGUUGGCCCCACGAAUCCUAAUCAAGAUCCACCCAUGCUGGUCAUUUAUUCUUUGCACACCUACGAUGAAAGCUCCAGUGAUUAACUCGCGCCCGUCUUGGAGGUGCAGCUGGAGAAGCUGGGGACCCCUCCCCCGCCAGGUUGCAGAGAGUGGGGGUACUCCUCAGGCUCCCCAUCCUCUCCAGCCACAGGCCGAUAAGGAAUAAACCGAACAAGAGCAACAGUCUACUGAAGCCUCCUCCGAAAGAUUACACAAGCAGUGUCAGAAUGCUGCAAUAUAUACGAUUGAAAAUAGAAAGUUGCCCAGCUCUGACACGUGUACCUUCCUCCGCCCCAGCCUGCUUCUCCUCUACUUCCUGUGUUAAUGAAAAUCAAGACAUCUGAUCACUAGCUUGUGCUUCAACUCAGUCUACACUAGCCAAAGACCACGGUUAAAGAGUUUUCCAAUGUUCUCAUCUAAAUGUAAAACUUGAACCUCUGAUGGAUGUUCUUAACUUCCUAGAG
rnacentral:lncRNA from 12 species